AGGAUGCUUCGGGGCGUGGCGCGGGUCUAAGUUCCUUGGAACAGGACGUCAUAGAGGGUGAGAAUCCCGUAUGCGACCCAAUGCCUCCGUCCAUGUGAAGCUCCUUCGACGAGUCGAGUUGUUUGGGAAUGCAGCUCAAAAUGGGUGGUAAAUUUCAUCUAAAGCUAAAUACUGGCCAGAGACCGAUAGCGCACAAGUAGAGUGAUCGAAAGAUGAAAAGCACUUUGGAAAGAGAGUUAAAAAGUACGUGAAAUUGUUGAAAGGGAAGCGCUUGCAACCAGACUUGCUCGCGGUUGCUCAGCCGGUGUUCUCAUCGGUGCACUCUUCCGCGAUCAGGCCAGCAUCGGUUUGGGCGGCUGGAUAAAGGCCACGGGAAUGUAGCUCCUCUCGGGGAGUGUUAUAGCCCGAGGUGCAAUGCAGCCCGCCCGGACCGAGGACCGCGCUUCGGCUAGGAUGCUGGCGUAAUGGUUGUAAGCGACCCGUCUUGAAACACGGACCAAGGAGUCUAACAUCUAUGCGAGUGUUUGGGUGUCAAACCCAUGCGCGUAAUGAAAGUGAACGGAGGUGGGAACCCUUAAGGGUGCACCAUCGACCGAUCCUGAUGUCUUCGGAUGGAUUUGAGUAAGAGCAUAGCUGUUGGGACCCGAAAGAUGGUGAACUAUGCCUGAAUAGGGUGAAGCCAGAGGAAACUCUGGUGGAGGCUCGCAGCGGUUCUGACGUGCAAAUCGAU
rnacentral:rRNA from 1 species